UACGUAGGGUGCAAGCGUUGUCCGGAAUUAUUGGGCGUAAAGAGCUCGUAGGCGGUCUGUCGCGUCGGAUGUGAAAACCCAGGGCUCAACCCUGGGCCUGCAUUCGAUACGGGCAGACUAGAGUUCGGUGAGGGGAGACUGGAAUUCCUGGUGUAGCGGUGGAAUGCGCAGAUAUCAGGAGGAACACCGGUGGCGAAGGCGGUGUCUGGGCCGAUACUGACGCUGUAGAGCGAAAGCGUGGGGGAGCGAACAGG
rnacentral:rRNA from 1 species